AUUGUGUAUAGAAUGAACUCAACCUGUGAAUAAAAGGAACUGCUGUGUUAUGUAGGAACAGCAGCAAUAUCCAAUUAUCUGGAAAAGGAAAAUUCCUUUCAGAUCUGCAGGAUGCAGUGAGGACCCAAACGUACAUCACACAAGAAGACCAGAAUGUGUUAACAGAAAGUGAACCAUUUGAGCCUGAACUGAAUGGAACAAAAAAGAAAAUCUGGAAAAUGUGGACUCUACAAGAGUCCAAGACCAAAAGACCUGGUCUGUCAGACCACAGGGCAGGACUAACAGGUUGACAUCUGCAGCUGAGACAAAGCAUGUAUCACCUGGACCGUCGCCAGUGAAGCUUAAGACCCUUUUGGAUGGAACAUCAACUCCAAAUAAGCACAAAUAUGCAAUGUAUAUAGAUUGAUCAUAACUAAACCUGUAAAUAGAAAAGGUCAAUGUGAUGACACACAUCUUCAAUACAAUAUGA